CCUACGGGUGGCAGCAGUGGGGAAUAUUGGACAAUGGGCGCAAGCCUGAUCCAGCCAUGCCGCGUGUGUGAAGAAGGCCUUUUGGUUGUAAAGCACUUUAAGCGAGGAGGAGGCUACUGAGAUUAAUACUCUUGGAUAGUGGACGUUACUCGCAGAAUAAGCACCGGCUAACUCUGUGCCAGCAGCCGCGGUAAUACAGAGGGUGCGAGCGUUAAUCGGAUUUACUGGGCGUAAAGCGUGCGUAGGCGGCUUUUUAAGUCGGAUGUGAAAUCCCUGAGCUUAACUUAGGAAUUGCAUUCGAUACUGGGAAGCUAGAGUAUGGGAGAGGAUGGUAGAAUUCCAGGUGUAGCGGUGAAAUGCGUAGAGAUCUGGAGGAAUACCGAUGGCGAAGGCAGCCAUCUGGCCUAAUACUGACGCUGAGGUACGAAAGCAUGGGGAGCAAACAGGAUUAGAUACCCUAGUAGUC
rnacentral:rRNA from 1 species